rnacentral:rRNA from 1 species
GAUGAAUGCUGGCGGCGUGCCUAACACAUGCAAGCCGAGCGGCAGCGCGAGUAGUUUACUACUUGGCGGCGAGCGGCGGACGGCUGAGUAACGCGUGGGAACGUGCCCCAAAGUGAGGGAUAACGCACCGAAAGGUGUGCUAAUACCGCAUAUGAUCUUCGGAUUAAAGAAUUUAUUCGCUUUGGGAGCGGCCCGCGUCGGAUUAGGUAGUUGGUAGGGUAAUGGCCUACCAAGCCGACGAUCCGUAGCUGGUCUGAGAGGAUGACCAGCCAGACUGGAACUGAGACACGGUCCAGAGUCCUACGGGAGGCAGCAGUGAGGAAUCUUCCACGAUGGGCGAAAGCCUGAUGGAGCAACGCCGCGUGCAGGAUGAAGGCCUUGGGGUUGUAAACUGCUUUUAUAAGUGAAGAAUAUGACGGUAACUGAUGAAUAAGCACCGGCUAACUACGUGCCAGCAGCCGCCGUAA